rnacentral:rRNA from 1 species
CUACGGGAGGCUGCAGUGAGGAAUAUUGCACAAUGGGGGGAACCCUGAUGCAGCAACGCCGCGUGGAGGAUGACGCAUUUCGGUGUGUAAACUCCUUUUAUAUGUCAAGAAAAUGACGGUAGCAUAUGAAUAAGCACCGGCUAACUCCGUGCCAGCAGCCGCGGUAAUACGGAGGGUGCAAGCGUUACUCGGAACCACUGGGCGUAAAGGACGCGUAGGCGGGAUAUCAAGUCAGGUGUGAAAUCCUACAGCUUAACUGUAGAACUGCACUUGAAACUGGUAACCUAGAGUAUGGGAGGGGGAGAUGGAAUUAGUGGUGUAGGGGUAAAAUCCGUAGAUAUCACUAGGAAUACCUAAAGCGAAGGCGAUCUCCUGGAACAUAACUGACGCUAAGGCGUGAAAGCGUGGGGAGCAAACAGGAUUAGAUACCCCUGUAGUC